UCCAGGGCUUCGGGGAUCACAGUCAGGGUGCCUGGCCUCUGGGAGGACCUGCCGCAUUUGUUCUUGAGAACUUUCCAUUCCAAUGUAUCUCAAGUUGUCGGGAGAGUUGCAAGGAGGAGUGAUAUAAGCCCAAGAAAAUCCUGCUUCCAGGAGGAAGUCAUUAGACAGAAAAUAAAAAAUUCAUCUGGAGCAGGGGCACAGAAAUAAUCCCAUUACCUCAUUAAAGACCUUGGAGACAACGUGCUUAUUCAGGAUGGGGACAUAGGUGGCGCUUCGGGGCACUACCGUCCCAGUCAAGG